UACGUAGGGUGCAAGCGUUUUUCGGAAUCAUUGGGCGUAAAGCGCGUGUAGGCGGUUCGCUAAGUCUGGUGUGAAAGCCCGAGGCUUAACUUCGGAAGUGCACUGGAUACUGGCGAACUAGAGGACAAGAGAGGAGAGUGGAAUUCCCGGUGUAGGGGUGAAAUCCGUAGAUAUCGGGAGGAACAUCAGUUGCGAAGGCGGCUCUCUGGCUUGUAUCUGACGCUCUGGCGCGAAAGCGUGGGGAGCAAACAGG
rnacentral:rRNA from 1 species